rnacentral:lncRNA from 1 species
CAGGUGCAAUACAGCCAUGACUAUCCUUCAGCAGCCCACCAGCAAGUCAUACAGCCUGCUCUGCCUGGGCAAGCCCUUCUUGGAGCAAAGGUGAUUGGCUCACACUCUGUUGAGAGGUUCAUCUUGAUUACCCCAGCCCCCAAGUUCCAGAAGAGUGGCCUGAACAGAAAUUGUCCUUUCCUAAGACUCCCAGGGGACAAGUUCUAUUACCUACCACCGAAAAGAGCUGGAGUUCCUGAAAAGUCCUUAGAACCUCUUGCUGAGUUGAGAUCCCAGGAUCUCCAGGCUCCAUUCACAGCCCCUGUGCCUAGGCUCCCUUGAAACCACUAAGGAACUUCUUAACCCAAUGAAUUCUAAAUGCUAGCAGUUUGCCAGACAAAUUGCAGAAAUAAUUUAUCACAUAUUCUAGAGGCAUAGCCAUGAGGUGGGGAAAUUUGUGAUCUUUGUGUUGGUGAAUAGCUUCCAAGAUACAACUGACAUAUAUAAGUAUAGAAUCUGAGGUACAGAUUUUAUUAAACAGGUGGAGCACUGCCUUAAAGAAAAAAAACAGUAUGGAUAAUUAUAGCAAUCAGCCCCAAAUGCAAACAGCUUGUAGAAGGCACUGAGUCACAUCUAGAUGAGAAUGAGCAUGGCUUCCAUUCAUGGAAUUAUGCAAAUUGGGUUCAUAAAACAAGGAAUCAUGAACUUCAGAUUCAUCUCUGUGCUCUUCCCAAAUUCUAAGAAGAGGCAUGUGCCCACAUGGCUUCAGAACACU